UAUACAAUUCAUUCCAUCCAAGUUGUUUAGCUGAACAAAACCCCAGCGCUCUCCUUUAUUGUGAGGCCAACAAAGAAGGAACAUGUGAGCACAGCGUGGGUCACAGAUGUGCACGCUCCUGCUUCAACUGCGAGCCACUUCCUCGCCCCACUCACUUUUACAGGGCUUUAACCUCUUUCAGCUGGAAUUCAGAUGAGCACAUAAACCAGGAAGCAAAGAGUGUUAACACAACAGAAGAGGCCCCUGUACAAAGGAUACAUGAAGAGAGGGACAUGCUUUGGAAACAGUCAGAUCAACAACCUCGGUUUCCAAGGGCUUAAGAGAAUAGAUAAGGAGCUGCUCCUGGAGAAAAAGGUGGAUAUUAAACAAUCUCUGAAAUACUGGGCAGUUUGAGCCCCUGAUGCCAAUCUCUCUGCCUUGGAUCCUUAUCUGUGCAAUUCAGUAACAUUCCAGACUCCUUCCAGAAGGGAUGUGGAAUACUUUGCCAACAGCUGGAUGUGAGCUCCCCUGCCUGUCACAACUAAAGUGCUUGGACAACAUCUACUGCAAAUUCUUCAGCAGCACCUACAUCCAUCUGUUCAUUCAAACAGACUUCUAAUACCUGAGCUCUCGGAGGGUUUGGCCAAACUGCAGCUCACACACACACUGCUCCAUCUUCAUGCAAGGAUCCAGAUGGAUCCAAGAGGGAUGAUUGAACAGCAAGCCUCAGCACCCAAAGGAGCCCCAUCAACACUGACACCACAGCAUCUACCAACACAGUUCAAGAGCACAGAGCACAUCUGAAAAGACUCAGCCAAUAUUUAUUUUCCUGUGCAACCCAGAACUACCAACUCCUCAUUGUCUCUCUGAUGUGAGAAGACACACACAGGGCUCCAGUCAGCCAGGCACUGCACACACUGAAAGAGGAGACAUUCACAGUUUUAAUUACUACAAAUGAGUUCAUACCCUCAGUUAGCGAGCUGAGCCAGGCACAUUUGAAUUAGCCCAAACCCAGGCUGAGAGAGUCACAACUCACCAUCCAUCCUCAG